UGGGCAACCUGCCCCUGGCUCUGGGAUAACUCCGGGAAACCGGAGCUAAUACCGGAUACGAGACCGAUUGGCAUCUUUACGGUCUGGAAAGUUUUUCGGCCAGGGAUGGGCUCGCGGCCUAUCAGCUUGUUGGUGGGGUGAUGGCCUACCAAGGCGGCGACGGGUAGCCGGCCUGAGAGGGCGACCGGCCACACUGGGACUGAGACACGGCCCAGACUCCUACGGGAGGCA
rnacentral:rRNA from 1 species